AACGAACGCUGGCGGCAUGCCUAACACAUGCAAGUCGAACGAGACCUUCGGGUCUAGUGGCGCACGGGUGCGUAACGCGUGGGAACCUGCCCUUAGGUUCGGAAUAACUCAGAGAAAUUUGAGCUAAUACCGGAUAAUGUCUUCGGACCAAAGAUUUAUCGCCUUUGGAUGGGCCCGCGUAGGAUUAGCUUGUUGGUGGGGUAAUGGCCUACCAAGGCGACGAUCCUUAGCUGGUCUGAGAGGAUGAUCAGCCAGACUGGGACUGGGACACGGCCCAGACUCCUACGGGAGGCAGCAGUGGGGAAUAUUGGACAAUGGGCGAAAGCCUGAUCCAGCAAUGCCGCGUGAGUGAUGAAGGCCUUAGGGUGGUAAAGCUCUUUUACCAGGGAUGAUAAUGACAGUACCUGGAGAAUAAGCUCCGGCUAACUCCGUGCCAGCCGCCGCCGUAAUAC
rnacentral:rRNA from 1 species